rnacentral:tRNA from 1 species
GUGGGUAUAGCUCAGUGGAAGAGUGCUUAGCAUGCAGGAGGUCCUGGGUUCAAUUUCCAGUACCUCUA